UUGGAGUACGGCCCCUCCGUGGACUGGUGGGCCCUGGGGGUGCUGAUGUACGAGAUGAUGGCUGGACAGCCUCCCUUUGAGGCCGACAAUGAGGACGACCUAUUUGAGUCCAUCCUCCAUGACGACGUGCUCUACCCAGUCUGGCUCAGCAAGGAGGCUGUCAGCAUCUUGAAAGCUUUCAUGACGAAGAAUCCCCACAAGCGCCUGGGCUGCGUGGCAUCACAGAACGGCGAGGACGCCAUCAAGCAGCACCCAUUCUUCAAAGAGAUUGACUGGGUGCUCCUGGAGCAGAAGAAGAUCAAGCCACCCUUCAAACCACGCAUUGACAGAGCCCCUUCGUGGAAGAACCUGCCAGGCACAACAAGGCUGUACUCUGCCCAGGCUGGCUCGCUAGAGGCUGGGGGCCCCUGGGUCACCACCACAGAGGCCGAGGAUGCAACAGCACAACAGCUUUCAGGCCUGACUUCCAUUCCU
rnacentral:sRNA from 1 species